rnacentral:sRNA from 1 species
UGACCAAAAAGUUUUUCGGUUUUGCCUACAAUAAAAUUGGUUUGUACCAGUUGUAAAUGAAGUUUAGGUUUCUUGGGGAUUAGCUUCAUGUUGGCUGGGAUUAUAUCAUAAAGUUGACACCUUCUGAGAGAGGGGCAUUCGCAUAAAUUAGGGAGUUAUGUGGCAAAAGCUUUAUUAUUUUUAUGCGAAUUUUAUGGAAGUUUAUUUUUAUGGGCUAGGACUGGUUUUUAUUGGGCUCCUUAAUGUCGUGUGAAAUUGGGGGAGCUUAAAUUGAUUAACAUCUAAAAAAAUAAUAUUUCCGAAGUUACUGCUUUACCACGUAGAGCAUGUAAUUUUACCACAUGAUAUUAUUAGAGUGAAUAGAACAUGUUAACAGGAAAUCCAUAAUACCACAAAAUGUCUAAAAUUGCUUAAGCAUAAAACCAACAAAAUUAACUGAUAUCUGGUAGAUUUUCUUAGACCGCAAUACCGUUACCAUAUAGGCUCUUCUAGGAAUAUAACCUUUUUUCUUGUACAAACUUUCCUGUUUCCAGUCACAACAACAAUAAAUUCGGUAGAACAGAAAAUGACUAACAGCAGUAGUUGGAAUAAUAAAAGCAGCAACAACAAAAGCAACGCUCCACAGAAUAACAGUCGCAUUCUCAAUUCUCAGUUGCAGUUGACGCCGACGUCGACUGCGACAGAAGCAGUAGCAGCGACUGAGGAGCGGCCGGCAAAAUAUUUGCAACGAACCGGCAAUAGAAAGAGACCGAAGAAACAGACAGAAAGAGACGGACAGACAGGAGAGACAGACAAAACACAAGAGCGCAGUGCAACUUGCCCGGCAACUUUACACUAAGAAAAAUAGUGGGAAUUUUAAAUUGAAGAUUUAAAGAUCAAUCUUCUCUCUUAAUUAUAAAUCAUACAAAAUUGUAUCGAUUAUUUCCAAAACUCCAAAAUGCGCUCCUGUUUAAACAUUAAAAUCUUAGUAAUCAACUAUUCAACCUCCAAUACGUUGGAAAUUAUUCUCUGUGCACAACAUCUGCUUUUGUCUAGCCAAGGGAAACCUGCUGGUCUGCCUCCCUCUUUUCGCCACUAUUCCCCCCACCAUUGCACCUUUGGCUCCACUGGAGUUGCAUGUGAGAGAGCGCCAAACGAUAACAGUAAAAAAAACACCGACAGACACACUAACAUUGCAAAAUUACGACUACAAUAUACCCGUUAGCGAAAAAUAGUAUAAUAUUUGAUAUAUUUCUUUCAAUUAAUUCUAAUAAUUUAUAUAACAACAUCCUUUAAGGAUAUUUUCGAGUCUGGUAUAGAGUUUAAAGAUUUAAAUAAAAAAAAUUGGAGCUUAUAAAAGUCUUACUUCAAGUAACUUUUAUAAACUUAUCAGUUCUAUAUCUCAGAAACUACAAAAGUAACACUGAUACCCUGUAACCCGCCGGGUACUGGGUAAUAAAAGCACAAGUCUCGACUCGCAUGCAACGCAGCGCUGCCCAGAGAGCGACUGCGACGCCGGCAGAGGCUCGACUUCAGUUUCAGAUUCAGAGUCUAGAGCACGUUCGGCAAUUAGUUGAACUUCGUUGCUCGGCCCGACGAGACGAAAACGAAUUGAAAUUGGAGAAAUUCCCCAAAAAACACACAAAACCAGCCACGGGAAGAGCAGCAAACAGUCAAAGUGAAGAGCCAACAAACAAACAUACAACAACAAACUCCAACGGGCGCGCAAAAAAAGCCAAAAACUUUUGACAGUGCACAAAAAUCUAAAUAAUUUGUUAAGAGAAAAUCAUUUGCCAGCAAGCACGGAUAUAUAGAGAGGUGUAAUUACUUCCAACAAAUCGAAUUUGUUGAUUAAAAUAUAAGGAAUUUAAGAAAGAAAGCUUCCUUUUACGUGCAAGUUCCAAGUUGUGUUUGUGUGAUUCUGUGUGUGUGUGCAUGUCUGCGCUUGUCUGCCAGGAUUGCCACCUUUCCCAAAAAUAAAAGAGGAGCGAAGCAAGCUAAAUACACGCCAAAAGCAAGCAGAACACUUUUUUGGUGGCCACUCCCCAGCAAGUUGAGUCAACGCUCUGCGACUGAAAAACAAAAGUAAAAGUUCAAAAAGGUAAGCCGAAUACUUAAUUAAUUAAUAAUGAAACGGUUAAAGGUAAAAGCAGCAUUUUAAGCCAGCUGAAAAGUGGCAAUGGUCAACUUGAAAACCAUUUCACUCCGCCCGUCGUCUCUAUUAUCUCUCAACGACAGGCGAGACCACAAUGUCAGUUCCGUGUCCUUUUCUUUUUCGUCCUGCCGCCGGAUGUCGAAAAAUGCAAUUUUUAAAUUUCCAUUAAUUUCGCGCUGUCGACUUUUGUGAAAUGUUGUCGCUGGGUAGCAGCGAGAAUCCAGCUCUCGAAUGCAAAAUACAGACAGAAAUGUCUACGGGUGCAACAACAAUGUAGCUGUUGUCAGCCAUGCAAAUAAGCACAGGUGAGAUGGGAUGCAGAAGAAGAAGAAGCGAUCCGGUGGCACAGGUAACCUGCUGUCUAAGUGACUGAUGCCCCAGAGUGUGUUCUGUUCUACGAUGUUUUUUUUUAUUCCUACGGAAUCCUCGGGUAAAUGGGAAAAUGGUAAGGCUUCUCAGCAGGCCGCCGCCGGCAUCACAAUUUUUUUUCCCACACUUUACCUGCUCUGUUUUUAAUGACACACACGGACCACGCCCACUCGCACCGCCCAUCGCUUGUCGAGCGGUGGCAAUAACAUAGAGAUGCCAAACGCUUCAAGGAGCCACGCGUCCUGCGACUAUUUUAGCCAGAUAUCCUCCUGUUGUCAUUGUGUCGCUGAACAAGCGACUUUACACCGACAACGUGACAUUUAAUUCAAAAUGUUUUACGCGCGCCCUCGCAACAUCUCGUUUUUUCUGCUUUUCUCGAACACAUUGUCCUCUUGUCGCACUUGUUAGAAAUGGUGGUAGGAAAGUCCUGCGGAAAGGAUAACAUGUCGGGACAAAGUUGGAUGUAGAAAAGCAGUAAGUGACAAAUUGAUGCUACUGAAAAGGGACUUGCAGAAGUCCAGAAAGGAUAUAAAAUAAACAACUUAUAAUAUAUGCACUUCAAAUUUUUUAAUUCAUUGUCCAAAGUGUAAAUACUGUAAACAAUUUCAUAUGUGGAGGCGUUAAAAAACUACAAUAAUUCGUCCAAUAGAGAAAA